GAUGAACGCUAGCGGCAGGCCUAAUACAUGCAAGUCGGACGGGGUUGAGGAGCUUGCUCUUCAUGAGAGUGGCGCACGGGUGCGUAACACGUAUGUAACCUACCUUGUUCAGGGGGAUAGCCUCUCGAAAGAGAGAUUAAGACCGCAUAACAUUGCGAUGUGGCAUCACAUUGUAAUCAAAUAUUUAUAGGAACAAGAUGGGCAUGCGGAACAUUAGCUAGUUGGUAAGGUAACGGCUUACCAAGGCUACGAUGUUUAGGGGAUCUGAGAGGCUCACCCCCCACACUGGUACUGGGACACGGACCAGACUCCUACGGGAGGCAGCAGUAAGGAAUAUUGGACAAUGGGCGCAAGCCUGAUCCAGCCAUGCCGCGUGAGUGAAGAAGGCCUUCGGGUUGUAAAGCUCUUUUGUCAGGGAAGAAACGGCCUGGGCGAAUACCCCGGGCUAAUGACGGUACCUGAAGAAUAAGCACCGGCUAACUACGUGCCAGCCGCCGCGGUAACAC
rnacentral:rRNA from 1 species